GGAAAUGGGGGUUACCUGUCUGGGCCUGGGGGAUCUGUCCGUCUGGCAGGAGUGGGAGUGUGGGAACUGGAGGAAGCGCUGCGAGGCGGGUGAUGACACACUCAGUGACUUUUGAAUGUUAUUUAUAGCAGACAGCUUCAGUCAUAGCAAUUUCCAUUGCAACUUUCCUCUGGAAUGCCUUGGGCGGGGCCAUGGCACUUCACUCUCCUUUCUGGAAGAGGACGGAGCCUGUUCCUGUGCUGACAGUGUGUUCUGUGGGUGCGGCGGAGUUGGAUUCUGAUAAGCACCCCUGUCUGGUGGCACGGGCUCCUGCAGUCUUACACAGCCAGCUGGAGAGCAUUCUGGACCGGGAGGAGGACUGGCUCGGAGGUUCACCAGGCAGCCUUGCAGUGUGUGUCGCUCAUCAACGUGAAGACAACUUUUAACGCCCAUCAGUAUGACAGGUGGCAGAACCCCUGAAUCAGAACGGAAGCCCUUGGUUGAGAUGAGGAUGCCCUGGUUCACGUCUGGCUUCUGCGGUUUCUCAUCCUCGCAACAGUGACUCUACAAACUGAAGUCCUCUGUAUACUCCUCCUCCUUUCUGUGCGCCCAACACCUAUUUCGCAGACACUUCUAGAACAUGCCCAGCGUCCUCGGUUUGUGUUAGGUGGACCUCACUGCACGUGUCCGAGGCUCGCUGCGAAGAGGGAGUAAUGCAUUCUACAGGAAGCAGUUAACUGGCACACAGAGAUGGCUUGGCCAGUGGCCACUGAUUCCUAUUGUUUUGGGGUUUUAUUUUACUCCUUGAAAUGAUCGUUCUUAACAUUUUUAAUGUCAAAUGCCCCUUCAGGGUCCCCAUGCAUAGACACAAACUUUAAAAAGUGAUUUCAAGAGAAACCUAAAAUACGAAUAAAGAGCAAACUAAAAGAUAACAGGAAGAGGCAGGUAGAUCUUAAGGGAAGAGGAUCAAGGGAUAGGAUGUGUGGUGUGCUGGUUCCAACUCCCCACGGGGAAAGGGAGCAUUUUAUGUAGUAUGAAUGUGUGCUCAAAAAAAGAUUUUAAAAAGAAUUUCCAAGGAGCUUCCAAGGCAGCUCAUGGAAUCUGCGUUCUAACUGAUUGUACCAGAAUAGAAGAAGCAAGAAAGAUACACUACUGGAACUGUAUUUCUCUUUUUAAAAAAAGGCAGAGAUGUGAACUGCAGUUUUAGUCGCCCAUAACUGAGUAAAGGACCGCAGAUGCCCCGAGCACCUUAUAUCUCUGGUAAAACGCCAUCAUAUGUGGGUAACAGGAAGAAGAAACUGUUGAUAGAUCUGUAAAAAUCAACCUAAGGAGUCAUCCUACUUUACGGAGGACCCCAUAUGCCCAGCAGGGUACCCUGUCCAAUCAGCCAUUCAUGGAUUUCAAGAUGGCCAAAGCCAAUGGGAAUUCUUUAGCUGGGCGUCACCUAAACUGGCCAAUCAGAUCAUUCAGUAUAGGAAGUUUUAAAUUUAAGUGAAAAGGACUGGGGUAUUUCUUACUUAAGACAGAGAGGAAAUAGCAUGUUGUUCAGUAAGUGUGUGCCUGAGAGACAGCACAAGUGUUAAGGACUCCAGCGCUGGGCCCUGUGGCGGUCCCCUCCGCAGCACAGAGAGAGGCUGGGGACGCCUCUCAACAGCGACAACUCAGCGCCCAGCCCUAAUCAAGGCUUGCAUUGGGAGGAGAACUUAGCUCAGUAGGGGAACACGGAGGUUGUCUUUGUGAAUAAAUCAAUCUCUUAAAACAGU